rnacentral:tRNA from 1 species
GGCGGCGUGGCUCGGUGGAAAGAGCCCGGGCUUGGGAGUCAGAGGUCACGGGUUCGACUCCCGGCUCCGCCA